AGCGAACGCUGGCGGCAGGCCUAACACAUGCAAGUCGAGCGGUCGUAGCAAUACGGCAGCGGCAGACGGGAGAGUAACACGUGGGAACGCACCCUUCAGUUCGGAACAACCAAGGGAAACUUUGGCUAAUACCGGAUACGUCCGUAAGGAGAAAGAUUUAUCGCUGAGGGAUCGGCCCGCGUCUGAUUAGCUAGUUGGUGGGGUAAUGGCCCACCAAGGCGACGAUCAGUAGCNGGUCUGAGAGGAUGAUCAGCCUCACUGGGACUGAGACACGGCCCAGACUCCUACGGGAGGCAGCAGUGGGGAAUAUUGGACAAUGGGCGCAAGCCUGAUCCAGCCAUGCCGCGUGGGUGAUGAAGGCCCUAGGGUUGUAAAGCCCUUUCGGCGGGGAAGAUAAUGACGGUACUCGCAGAAGAACGCCCCGGCUAACUUCGUGCCAGCCGCCGCCGUAA
rnacentral:rRNA from 1 species